rnacentral:lncRNA from 1 species
CACGCCAUCCUCCUGAUUGUAUUGUCGAUUUUAAGGCUUCCAGGAGUGCAAUGUAGAUCUUGCGGAUGCUAGGCUGAAUGGGCUUAAACAUUAUUUGCAAGAAAAGAAAAACAUUGAUUUCACCUUGAACACUCACAUAAUGAUUUUCAUAGCCAUAGCUUGAAAAAUACUUCAUUUGCAAGAAAAGAGAAACAUUGAUUUCACCUAGAACACUGACAUCUUGAUUUUCAUAGCCAUAGCUUGAAAAAUACAACCAGACAAGCAUUGAUUCACGGCAGGUGACAGCUAAAACAUGAGUGAAGAAAUUAGCAAGAUGUUGGUUCUGAUGCUCUAUGAACCUCUCUGAAACAAAGCAAACAAAAGUUCGCAGCAGUUUCAUUUCCUUUAAAAUAUCAUCAAUAUGUUUCUUAGUUUCUGAAACGCAAAAAAGCGAUGAGCAAGCAU